UGGGAAGGAAAGAACCUGAUUUUUGUAUUCGCUUAUCAAUUUUCUUUGUAGUGGAAAUUUAAGGAUACCAUCUGUAAUGCUUUUUUUUUUUAUUUUUUUUCUCUUUUCACUUCUAAUGGCGUAGUUAAGAUAAACUAAUUUCAUAAUCAAAUCAGUCAUGCACAUAGCAAUAUUAUCACAAUCUCUUAUUCAAAGUCAAGAUAAACCUACAAUCAUGCAUGAGACAUCGCAUAAAAUACAAUCGUAC
rnacentral:lncRNA from 1 species